GAUGAACGCUGGCGGCGUGCCUAAUACAUGCAAGUCGAGCGAACGGACGAGAAGCUUGCUUCUCUGAUGUUAGCGGCGGACGCGUGAGUAACACGUGGAUAACCUACCUAUAAGACUGGGAUAACUUCGGGAAACCGGAGCUAAUACCGGAUGAUAUUUUGAACCGCAUGGUUCAAAAGUGAAAGACGGUCUUGCUGUCACUUAUAGAUGGAUCCGCGCUGCAUUAGCUAGUUGGUAAGGUAACGGCUUACCAAGGCAACGAUGCAUAGCCGACCUGAGAGGGUGAUCGGCCACACUGGAACUGAGACACGGUCCAGACUCCUACGGGAGGCAGCAGUAGGGAAUCUUCCGCAAUGGGCGAAAGCCUGACGGAGCAACGCCGCGUGAGUGAUGAAGGUCUUCGGAUCGUAAAACUCUGUUAUUAGGGAAGAACAUAUGUGUAAGUAACUGUGCACAUCUUGACGGUACCUAAUCAGAAAGCCACGGCUAACUACGUG
rnacentral:rRNA from 1 species